rnacentral:misc_RNA from 1 species
AACGCAUCUUGCGCUCCUUGGUAUUCCGAGGAGCAUGCCUGUUUGAGUGUCGUGAACCUCCUCAACCCCUCCCUUCUUUUUAGGGCUCUCGGGUUGGAUUUGGACGUCUGCCGCGGGUUUCGACCUUUCGGCUCGUCUUGAAAUGCAUCAGCUGGUCCGCCGCGCGAGUUUCGGUAUUAACAACGGUGUGAUAAGAAACGCUUCGUGACUGUAGCGCCGUUUCGCCGACUCGCUGGAGGGGCUGCUUCCAACCGUCUUAGGACAAACCUUUCACUUCAUCUGACCUCAAAUCAGGUAGGACUACCCGCUGAACUUAA